rnacentral:miRNA from 1 species
UGGCAGUUGUACCACGUGGGA